rnacentral:misc_RNA from 1 species
GAUGAAGAACGCAGCGAAAUGCGAUAAGUAAUGUGAAUUGCAGAAUUCAGUGAAUCAUCGAGUCUUUGAACGCACAUUGCGCCCCCUGGUAUUCCGGGGGGCAUGCCUGUCCGAGCGUCAUUGCUGCCCUCAAGCACGGCUUGUGUGUUGGGCCCCGUCCCCUCCCCCGGGGACGGGCCCGAAAGGCAGCGGCGGCACCGCGUCCGAUCCUCGAGCGUAUGGGGCUUUGUCACCCGCUCUGUAGGCCCGGCCGGCGCCAGCCGACACCCAACUUUUAUUUCUAAGGUUGACCUCGGAUCAGGUAGGGAUACCCGCUGAACUUAAGCAUAUCAACAAGCGGAGGA